rnacentral:rRNA from 1 species
GAUGAACGCUGGCGGCGUGCCUAACACAUGCAAGUCGAACGAGAUAGAGAGUGCUUGCACUUUCUAUCUAGUGGCGGACGGGUGAGUAACGCGUGGAUAAUCUGCCCUACACAGGGGGAUAACAGCCGGAAACGGCUGCUAAUACCGCAUAACACUGCAUAGUCGCAUGAAGAUGCAGAGAAAGAGAUUCGGUGUAGGAUGAGUCCGCGUCCGAUUAGCUAGUUGGAGGGGUAAGAGCCCACCAAGGCGACGAUCGGUAGCCGGCCUGAGAGGGCGACCGGCCACAUUGGGACUGAGACACGGCCCAG